AGCGCAGACGGUUAUUUAAGCAAGAUGUGAAAGCCCCGGGCUCAACCUGGGAACUGCGUUUUGAACUGGGUAACUAGAGUGUGUCAGAGGGGGGUAGGAAUUCCACGUGUAGCAGUGAAACGCGUAGAGAUGUGGAGGAAUACCGAUGGCGAAGGCAGCCCCCUGGGAUAACACUGACGUUCAUGCUCGAAAGCGUGGGUAGCAAACA
rnacentral:rRNA from 1 species